AACAUUUGAAAGAAAAAAAAAAAGAGAGAGAGGGAGAGAGGUGAGGCGAUUUCCGGCCACAGGGCCGGUCACCGUCAGGUCGCCGGACCGUCGCCCGCCGCCGCCGCCGACCACCGUGCACGGUGGCCGAAAAAGAUGCAAGUGGUGAUAGGGACUUAGGCGGUGGAGCAGGUGGCGGUGGGUGGUGUCAGAAGAUGGUGCAAUGAGACGUUGGCGGCUAGGGGGGUUAGGGUUAGAUUUAGGGUUUUUUUUUCUGAUUUUGGGUUUUAGUGUUUGGGCUGUUAGGAAUUAGGUUUGGGAUUUGGGUUAUUGUUGGGUUGAUGUAAUUGGGUGGGAUUGUAUUGGGUUGUUGGGUUAAUUUGGUUUGGGCCAAAAUUGGCCUGUAACAAUUUUGUAGUUGAACCACUUUAAGACCAAUUAAAAUAGCCCAUAAUUCAGACU